UUUAUCUUUUGAGUUCUUUUCCUUUUUCACUCACCUUUCACAAAAAAAUAGGUGAAAUUCAUCUCUGUCGCUCACAAUUCGCAAAAAAAAUUCUAAACCUCAAACAAACAAAUCGCAUAAAACCCCAAACCCUCUUAUCAACGAAGAGAAUUCCCACACAAUCGAAGUUUGAAACCAACAAAUCAAUUUCAAGUGUUAAGCUGCUAGGGUCUGGGUCUUCGAAUUCCGACGAGCUGUUUCCAUACGAACCGCGGCGCACCGUACCGUGCCGUCGAACACAAUCCUCUCUGCUCUAUCUCCGGCGUUCAAGCCAUUAAGGUAAGCAAUUUCUUAUUUAUAAAACGAAUUAGGGAGUUACAUCGGGCUUUUGAAUUUGGGAUUUACAAAUUGGGGAUAUGGGCAUUAAUUUUUUAUUUAGGGUUUUAAUUUUGGAGAAAUUAGUAGGCUAUGCAGGGGAUUAAUUUGAUUGCGUCAGAAUUUGAGUUUUGGGAUUGUUGAUCUGUGUUUGAUUUGUUAUUGUAUUAUUGGGUUGGUUUUGAAGUGAUCGUGGAUUCUUGUGAUAUCUGAAAUUGAUUAGAUCAGCCAUUUUCAGUUCUGUCGGUUCGUUUUCGGUUUUCAAAACUUCUUUGUAUGUAAAAUCCAAACAGCCUAACACCAGUUGAUCUAUUCAAUCUGAUUUCAUCUAUCAUCUCGCACUCGAUUUCUCUAUCUUUAUUUAUCCAUUACCUCUAAUUUAUAACUUUAAUAUGUUUGACUGUUUUCCCGCUUUGAUCAGUAUGAACAAAAUUCUUGAGCGGAACCAUAAAAGUUGCUAUUUGCAUUUUUGUGUUUGUAUGUGCUGGUGGUGGUAUGAGCGUCUACUGACUGUUAUACUUGAUGGUAUAUAUCCUCUAAGCAUGCUUGUUGGUUGGAGUCAAAUGCAAAAUCAUAGAAUCAGAAUUUAAGAUUACCAUAUGUAUUUGAGAGCACAGCUGAUGAAAAUUUUACUGAUUGCAAAUGAUAAAUGUUACGAGCAUGGGAAAAGCAUAACCAAUUUUAAAUCAGCUUUUCAGGUAUGCGUUGAUUCCAGAUUCAAACCAUCACUUCCGUUUAGUAUGCUGUUUAUCAUUUUGUGAUCAUAGCACUGUCAGGCGGUGUUACUAUUGUGAAUGUUAUGCGAGAAAGCAAAGAAAAUUCUAAUGGGAGAAAGCAAGGUUAAGAUGAAAUUGGCAGAGAGAAUGUUGCGUCAAGAUGUUCUUGGAGGCCAUCAAUAUACACGCUACUCUUAGGCACAUAUAUAUUUAGAACUUUCUACACCUUCAACAAUGUUUCAAACACCGCAACAACGCGCAGGUACACCAGCUUAUGAAAACUAAAAAUCAUAAGCAAAAAAUUAUUUUAAAUUAUUCAAAAUUUAAUUUAAAAUGGGCAGAAAAUUGUCUUCAUUAAAACCGAAAACCAUUACACACAGAAAUAACAAAUAUGUUAACAAGAGAACUAUGCAGCAAAGUUGUUAAUUCGUUAUAUAUAUUAUGUAGUUUUGCCAUCAGUACCAUGACGACCACCGCCGCCAAUAAUCUGUUGGUUGCUUCUCUGUUAACUGCACUCCUUGUAGUUCUGGGGAACUCUUCCACUCAGAGCUGUUGAUCUUCAACUUAGGGCAUUCGUAUAUAUUUACAGUUUUCAAGGAUGGGAAUUUGACAAUGCAAUUUCCAGAGAAGAAAUCUUGCAGACUUGGUAGCUCGUAAAGUUCCAAACUUUGCAACUGGCAAAAAGAAAUCUAACCAUCAUUUCCUGCAUCAUCUCCAUCUGAUGUCGUUGCCCCUAUUUCUCUCAUUCUUUUAAAUAUGUGGAUACUUCAAUGGUAGAAGAACAUCACUUGGGUAUUUACCUAGAUCAGGUUCUUGUAGAUAGGGGUAGAUAUCAAAGACUUGUGGGGAGGUGAAUUUAUUUAUCUCAUACUCGUCCUGAUAUUGCAUAUGCUUUGAGUGUUGUAAGUUAGUUUAUGCACUCGCCUAGUGAAGAUCAUAUGGUUGUGGUAAUGUGAAUUUUGGCAUAUAUGAAGUCUGCACCCGGUAAAGAAAAACUUUAUGGAAAAACAUGGGCAUCUAAAAGUUGAGGGGUUUACAGAUGCAGAUUAGGCUAGUAAUGUUACUAACAGACGAUCUACAUCUAGGUAUUUUACGUUUGUUGGAGGUAAUUUGGUUACGUGGCAUAGUAAGAAGCAGAAAGUGGUGUCAAGGUCGUUUGCGGAAGCUGAGUAUAGAGGUGAAAUUCAUCUCUGUCGCUCACAAUUCGCAAAAAAAUUCUAGACUUCAAACAAACAAAUCGCACACAAUCGAAGUUUGAAACCAACAAAUCAAUUUCAAGUGU